GACGAACGCUGGCGGCGUGCCUAAUACAUGCAAGUAGAACGCUGAAGAGAGGAGCUUGCUCUUCUUGGAUGAGUUGCGAACGGGUGAGUAACGCGUAGGUAACCUGCCUUGUAGCGGGGGAUAACUAUUGGAAACGAUAGCUAAUACCGCAUAACAAUAGGUGACACAUGUCAUUUAUUUGAAAGGGGCAAUUGCUCCACUACAAGAUGGACCUGCGUUGUAUUAGCUAGUAGGUGAGGUAACGGCUCACCUAGGCGACGAUACAUAGCCGACCUGAGAGGGUGAUCGGCCACACUGGGACUGAGACACGGCCCAGACUCCUACGGGAGGCAGCAGUAGGGAAUCUUCGGCAAUGGGGGCAACCCUGACCGAGCAACGCCGCGUGAGUGAAGAAGGUUUUCGGAUCGUAAAGCUCUGUUGUAAGUCAAGAACGAGUGUGAGAGUGGAAAGUUCACACUGUGACGGUAGCUUACCAGAAAGGGACGGCUAACUACGUGCCAGCAGCCGCGGUAAUACGUAGGUCCCGAGCGUUGUCCGGAUUUAUUGGGCGUAAAGCGAGCGCAGGCGGUUUGAUAAGUCUGAAGUUAAAGGCUGUGGCUCAACCAUAGUUCGCUUUGGAAACUGCCAAACUUGAGUGCAGAAGGGGAGAGUGGAAUUCCAUGUGUAGCGGUGAAAUGCGUAGAUAUAUGGAGGAACACCGGUGGCGAAAGCGGCUCUCUGGUCUGUAACUGACGCUGAGGCUCGAAAGCGUGGGGAGCGAACAGGAUUAGACACCCUGGUAGUCCACGCCGUAAACGAUGAGUGCUAGGUGUUGGAUCCUUUCCGGGAUUCAGUGCCGCAGCUAACGCAUUAAGCACUCCGCCUGGGGAGUACGACCGCAAGGUUGAAACUCAAAGGAAUUGACGGGGGCCCGCACAAGCGGUGGAGCAUGUGGUUUAAUUCGAAGCAACGCGAAGAACCUUACCAGGUCUUGACAUCCCGAUGCUAUUUCUAGAGAUAGAAAGUUACUUCGGUACAUCGGUGACAGGUGGUGCAUGGUUGUCGUCAGCUCGUGUCGUGAGAUGUUGGGUUAAGUCCCGCAACGAGCGCAACCCCUAUUGUUAGUUGCCAUCAUUCAGUUGGGCACUCUAGCGAGACUGCCGGUAAUAAACCGGAGGAAGGUGGGGAUGACGUCAAAUCAUCAUGCCCCUUAUGACCUGGGCUACACACGUGCUACAAUGGUUGGUACAACGAGUUGCGAGUCGGUGACGGCAAGCUAAUCUCUUAAAGCCAAUCUCAGUUCGGAUUGUAGGCUGCAACUCGCCUACAUGAAGUCGGAAUCGCUAGUAAUCGCGGAUCAGCACGCCGCGGUGAAUACGUUCCCGGGCCUUGUACACACCGCCCGUCACACCACGAGAGUUUGUAACACCCGAAGUCGGUGAGGUAACCUUUUGGAGCCAGCCGCCUAAGGUGGGAUAGAUGAUUGGGGUGAA
rnacentral:rRNA from 1 species